UAUCUCUUAGUCUCCCACUCUCCCUCUCCGUCGAGAUCCCUCCAUCGAGAUCUGCUUUCCGACGGUGCUGAGCCCUCCCUCCUCUCCUCUCUACCUCUCCCCUUCUGUCGCUCCAUUCCGUGGCUCUGUCACUAAGCACCUCCUCCCUCUACCUUCAUCACCUCCGCCACCAUCUGGGCCGUCCCUCUUUCUCUAUCGCUGUCCACUGUCGGGAUCCGAUCUCUCCACCACUAACCUUCACCGUCUCAACUUUCUCUUCGUCUCCCCCGCUCGUCGGACCCCGACAUCAAAAUAGCUGAUCUGUCGCGCCCUCGCUGAUCUA
rnacentral:lncRNA from 1 species